ACCUCUUACCCAUGUCUUUUGAGUACCUUCGUUUCCUCGGCGGGUCCGCCCGCCGAUUGGACAACAUUCAAACCCUUUGCAGUUGCAAUCAGCGUCUGAAAAAACAUAAUAGUUACAACUUUCAACAACGGAUCUCUUGGUUCUGGCAUCGAUGAAGAACGCAGCGAAAUGCGAUAAGUAGUGUGAAUUGCAGAAUUCAGUGAAUCAUCGAAUCUUUGAACGCACAUUGCGCCCCUUGGUAUUCCAUGGGGCAUGCCUGUUCGAGCGUCAUUUGUACCUUCAAGCUCUGCUUGGUGUUGGGUGUUUGUCUCUCCUCUGCGUGUAGACUCGCCUUAAAACAAUUGGCAGCCGGCGUAUUGAUUUCGGAGCGCAGUACAUCUCGCGCUUUGCACUCAUAACGACGACGUCCAAAAGUACAUUUUUACACUC
rnacentral:sRNA from 1 species